GUGGGGAAUAUUGGUCAAUGGGGGAAACCCUGAACCAGCAACGCCGCGUGAAGGAAGAAGGCUUUCGGGUUGUAAACUUCUUUGACAGGGGACGAAACAAAUGACGGUACCCUGAAAACAAGCCACGGCUAACUACGUGCCAGCAGCCGCGGUAAUACGUAGGUGGCAAGCGUUGUCCGGAUUUACUGGGUGUAAAGGGCGUGUAGGCGGGACGGUAAGUCAGAUGUGAAAUGUAGGGGCUCAACCCCUGAACUGCAUUUGAAACUAUCGUUCUUGAGUGAUGGAGAGGCAGGCGGAAUUCCGUGUGUAGCGGUGAAAUGCGUGGAUAUACGGAGGAACACCAGUGGCGAAGGCGGCCUGCUGGACAUUAACUGACGCUGAGGCGCGAAAGCGUGGGGAGCAAACAGGAUUAGAAACCCCGGUAGUCC
rnacentral:rRNA from 1 species